rnacentral:rRNA from 1 species
CCUACGGGAGGCAGCAGUGGGGAAUAUUGGGCAAUGGAGGUAACUCUGACCCAGCAACGCCGCGUGAAUGAUGACGGUCUUCGGAUUGUAAAGUUCUUUUCUAAGGGAAGAAGAAAGUGACGGUACCUUAGGAAUAAGCCUCGGCUAACUACGUGCCAGCAGCCGCGGCAAUACGUAGGAGGCAAGCGUUAUCCCGAAUGACUGGGGGUAAAGGGUGCGUAGGUGGUUUGACAAGUUCGUAGCGCAACUCCGGGGCUCAACGUCGGAACUACUGCUGAAACUGGUGGACUUGAGUGCGGGAGGAGUAUGCGGAAUGCGUGGUGUAGCGGUGGAAUGCGUAGAUAUUAGGAAGAACUCCAAUGGCGAAGGCAGCAUGCUAGACUGUAACUGACACUGAGGCACGAAAGCGUGGGGAGCGAACAGGAUUAGAUACCCUUGUAGUC